rnacentral:rRNA from 1 species
AACGAACGCUGGCGGCAUGCCUAACACAUGCAAGUCGAACGAGAACUUCGGGUCUAGUGGCGCACGGGUUCGUAACGCGUGGGAACCUGCCCUUAGGUUCGGAAUAACUCUCCGACAGGGGUGCUAACACCGGAUAAUGUCUUCGGACCAAAGAUUUAUCGCCCUUGGAUGGGCCCGCGUUGGAUUAGCUAGUUGGUAGGGUAAAAGCCUACCACGGCGACGAUCCAUAGAUGGUCUGAGAGGAUGAUCAGCCACACUGAGACUGAGACACGGCCCAGACUCCUACGGGAGGCAGCAGUGGGGAAUAUAGGACAAUGGGCGGAAUCCUGAUCCAGCAAGGCCGCGUGAGUGAUGAAGGCCUUAGGGUUGUAAAGCUCUUUUACCCGGGAUGAUAAUGACAGUACCGGAAGAAUAAGCUCCGGCUAACUCCGUG